GGACUGCACAACAUCAUUUUAGAUGUUUCGGAUUACAUGUAUAUAAUUUUGUUUGUAAAUCCCUUCGUUAUCAUCUUUUAAUUUCUAGUUUUCAAAUGGGAGAUGCAUUUUUCUCUCUGUUUUGGAUGAAACUAAAAUUGUUAAUUUAGGAAGGCAGCACAUUGUCCAGAGAUCUUUUAUUAUUUCAUGUGAAUAUUAGUGUCUGUUCAGAUUUUGAUUUUGCACUGUGAAUUGCAAAAUUGUUCUUUUUUUGUAAUAUUGUUGUCCAUAGAGCAAAUAAACUUAUAAAGACACUGU
rnacentral:misc_RNA from 1 species